GAUGAACGCUGGCGGCGUGCCUAAUACAUGCAAGUCGAGCGAACGGACGAGAAGCUUGCUUCUCUGAUGUUAGCGGCGGACGGGUGAGUAACACGUGGAUAACCUCCCUAUAGGACUGGGAUAACUUCGGGACACCGGAGCUAAUACCGGAUAAUAUUUUGAACCGCAUGGUUCAAAGGUGAAAGACGGUCUUGCUGUCACUUCUAGAUGGAUCCGCGCUGCAUUAGCUAGUUGGUAAGGUAACGGCUUACCAAGGCAACGAUGCAUAGCCGACCUGGGAGGGGGAUAGGAGACACUGGAAGUGGGAAACGGUCCAGACUCCUACGGGAGGCAGCAGUAGGGAAUCUUCCGCAAUGGGAGAAAGCCUGACGGAGCAACGGCGCGUGAGUGAUGAAGGUCUUGGGAUCGGAAAACUCUGUUAUUAGGGAAGAACAUAUGUGUAAGUAACUGUGCACAUAUUGACGGUACCUAAUCAGAAAGCAACGGCUAACUACGUG
rnacentral:rRNA from 1 species